AAUUGCUAGGGGCUGGCUGGAUUGCUGUUGGUUUUUCCCCUCCUGGUGGCUUUGCUUGGUUUGGGUUUAGUUUGGGAACAAACUUGUUUUAUAUCAACACUUCCUUCUACAUCGGGCGCCGUCGCCUCAACUGCGCGUGGGGGGCGAGGUGCCCACCCCGCACAAGAACAGAGGAGCGGGGGAGAAGAGACGGCCUCGCUGCCCACUGGGCCCCUUUGUGUGACUAAAUUUGGCAAGAAUAUGGAUCUGAGCCAGUCUUUCCACGUGUGCUCCCAGCUCCCAGCUGAGAAGGCCAAGGGUUCUCUUCCGGGUAAGGAGACAGGGAGAAAGAUCAAAGAGUUUGGGGAGCUGGAUCUGAAAUGUGAAUUGAAAAUAAAAAUCAAGCCUGGACACAUUCCAGUUUCUAAAGCAAAACCAACCCUCAGCAGAGGCCGGCUCUCUAUAUAGCUCUGUUUCUUUCUCUCUCUGCUCCCUUUGACUCUUUUCUGUGACCAUUCUUGAGCACAUGGUAUAAAAUAAAGAGAACACAGGGAAACAGUUUCUCUAUAUUUCGUUUUGG
rnacentral:antisense_RNA from 1 species